GUUUGAGACGUUAAAGUGAGAAGUCAAAAAACAAUCUCGAAAAAGUAAUCAAAACUAUAAAUUCUUUAAGGACGCCUUUUACGAAUACAGAAAACAAUUCGGCUGGUAUCAUGCUUAAAGAUCGCAAUCUCAAUUCGUUCUGCUCCCUAAUGGAGCUAUAUUCCUUUCAAUGUCAAUCUGUAAAGUCCUUACCUAACACUGUCCAUUGAAAAAGGUGUGCUUACGAUGAUCAAACCUCAUAAAUUUUUAAUCUUUCAAAGUAAAUUUAACUCAAAGGAACAGGUUCAUCCAGACAAAUACGGUUCAUAUUCUUGCAUAAAUACCUACAGAAAGCAGGAAAAAAAUCGUCUUCCAGUAGAAAACCAGUUGAACAACUGCACUUGCCAAGAAAAUAUCUGUAGCUUCUUCGAUCUAGAAUUCAACUGGACUAAAAAUAAAUUGUUUCAAGGAAAAAAAUCAAAUCCGCUUCUAAAUUUUCGAUAAAUGGCGGUAAGUAUCAGGCAUUUGACCUUAAAUUUGCAUGCCUUAUUGGGGCGUUAAUAUAACACAAUGAAAUUACAUAAAUGAA